rnacentral:lncRNA from 1 species
UUUUUUUUUUUUGAGCUAGAGUUUCGCUCUUGUUGCCCAUGGUGGAGUGCAGUGGUGUGAUCUCGGCUCACUGAACAUGUGCCUACCAGGUUCAAGCAAUUCUCCUAGCUCAGCCUCCUGAGUAGCUGGGAUUACAGGCACACACCACCACGCCUGCCUAACUUUUGUAUUUUUAGUGGAGUUGGGGUUUCACCAUGUUGGCCAGGCGGGUCUCGAACUCCUGACCUCAGGUGAUCCUCCCGCUUCAGCCUCCCAAAGUGCUGGGAUUACAGGCAUGAACCACCUCGCCCCGCCAGGAAUGUUUUUUAAGAAGGCUAUCUACUUACGGAGUUCCUGGCCUUGAGAGGAUAUUACUUGCAAAGGAAAGGAUUCGUUUUGUGAUUAAAAAACAUAAUCUUAUGAAUUCAACACAUGAAGAUUUACAACUUGAUAAACCAGCUUCAGGAGAUCAGAACUUCUUACAAUACAACUGAUGUUACUCAGCCUAGAACAAA